GAGGAAAGCAAGAUUCUUCUUUCAUAUCCUGGAAGCAUCUGGGAAAAUCUCAGUAUCUGGAACAAAGGCAGUAAGUCCAUCCACUGAACUUGUUCCCAGCCCUGAGACAGGCAACGUUAGCAAAUAAUGUGGGAGCAAACGAAAAGAAUGUCCCCACACCUCUAACGUUUCCUCUUUAAAUGCAGAAGAAACUUCAUAAUCCUCCAGCUAAUUUCCUUAGAUGGUUUUCUUAAUCCUUUCACCACCUGUAGUUAGUGUCCCUGGUACUGUUGUAAUCAUUGGGAACUGAUCAACUUGAACUGCUGGUCGUAAAAGUUUAUGGCAACCACUGAGGACUUAAUGAGUGCGUAGUGGUGACUAAGGAAAUCUCAACAAAGCCCCCAACCACUGAGUCCCAGGACCACUUUUAUGAGCCCCCUGUAAAGGUGAUCAUGGUCCACUGGGGUUGGAAAGAGACAUGGAACAUGUACAGGGCACAUGUAUGUGUAUCAUCUGCCACCAACACGUAAGGCGCUUACAGACCAACAGCAUCUUGCUGGCCCUUUAAAGUACUGUCUUCAAUCCUGAGAUCCUAAAACUUUUUUCUUUUUUAAUCCUGAAAAAAAAAAAUAGAAAUGAUCUCAAAUCCAGGAAAGAUCUAAUUUAAAACAGAAAAACUUGGGGUUGGGAAGGGGAAACCCAUUCAGAGACAAUUUAAAUGUAUGAGGCUCAUUUAAAAUUUCAGGAAUUGAAAAUGGAUUAAAUUAUUUGUUCUAUGUGGGUCUUCAUUUUAGAAUUACUUUCAAAUCCUCUGAUUCUAAAAAGACUCUCUGAGUGUUUGGAGUUGUAAAGUACAUGAUGUGAUGGGAGAACGUCCAAGGGCUGGUUCUCAUUUUGUGAAAUUCUCUAAUGAAACUGCUCAAAAAUACAACCUCCCAAACUAACACCAGCAUUUGUUUGUUAUUGUUUGGUUGGCUUUCACAUCAUGAAUGAAAAACCUUCUGAAAAUAGGAAGCAAUUAUAAAAUUCUCCAGGUUCCCCUGU
rnacentral:lncRNA from 1 species